UGGGGGAUAUUGCACAAUGGGCGAAAGCCUGAUGCAGCGACGCCGCGUGGGGAAGGAAGGCCUUCGGGUUGUAACCUUCUUUUGCUCGGAACAAGGCAUGCUAAGGGGGGGGUGGAGGGUAGGGGUGGAUUAGCGCGGGCUAACUACGUGCCAGCGGCCGCGGUAAUACGUAGGGCGCGAGCGUUGUCCGGAAUUAUUGGGCGUAAAGGGCUUGUAGGUGGCUGGUUGCGUCUGUCGUGAAAGCUCAUGGCUUAACUGUGGGUUUGCGGUGGGUACGGGCUGGCUUGAGUGCAGUAGGGGAGGCUGGAAUUCCUGGUGUAGCGGUGGAAUGCGCAGAUAUCAGGAGGAAUACCGGUGGCGAAGUCGGGUCUCUGGGCUGUUACUGACACUGAGGAGCGAAAGCAUGGGGAGCGAACAGG
rnacentral:rRNA from 1 species